UUUGUGAUUUAGAUGAGGUUAUGGUUGUGUUUUACUUCAGAUUUGAAGAAAAUUGGAAGUGAUUAGAAGAAUGAAUUUCAAGGGUUUUGGGAAUGAUCCAGGAGCCUCCGGCAACGGAGGUGGGAGGAUAGCGGCGGGGAAUUUUCCGCUGACGAGGCAACCGUCAGUGUAUUCGCUGACUGUUGAUGAAUUUAUGAACAGUAUGGGGGGUUCUGGAAAAGAUUUUGGGUCAAUGAACAUGGAUGAAUUGUUGAAGAAUAUUUGGAGUGCUGAAGAGGUUCAAAC
rnacentral:lncRNA from 1 species